UACGUAGGGUGCAAGCGUUAAUCGGAAUUACUGGGCGUAAAGCGUGCGCAGGCGGUUAUGCAAGACAGAGGUGAAAUCCCCGGGCUCAACCUGGGAACUGCCUUUGUGACUGCAUGACUAGAGUACGGUAGAGGGGGAUGGAAUUCCGCGUGUAGCAGUGAAAUGCGCAGAUAUCGGGAGGAACACCAACGGCGAAGGCAGCUUGCUGGGACGGUACUGACGCUGAGAUGCGAAAGCGUGGGAGCAAACAGG
rnacentral:rRNA from 1 species